GACGAACGCUGGCGGCGUGCUUAACACAUGCAAGUCGAACGGUAAGGCCCUUCGGGGUACACGAGUGGCGAACGGGUGAGUAACACGUGGGUGAUCUGCCCUGCACUUCGGGAUAAGCCUGGGAAACUGGGUCUAAUACCGGAUAGGACCCUGGGAUGCAUGUCCUGGGGUGGAAAGCUUUUGCGGUGUGGGAUGGGCCCGCGGCCUAUCAGCUUGUUGGUGGGGGGAUGGCCUACCAAGGCGACGACGGGUAGCCGGCCUGAGAGGGUGACCGGCCACACUGGGAAUGGGAUACGGCCCAGACUACGACGGGAGGCAGCAGUGGGGAAUAUUGCACAAGGGGCGCAAGCCUGAUGCAGCGACGCCGCGUGAGGGAUGACGGCCUUCGGGUUGUAAACCUCUUUCAGCACCGACGAAGCGCAAGUGACGGUAGGUGCAGAAGAAGGACCGGCCAACUACGUGCCAGCCGCCGCCGUAA
rnacentral:rRNA from 1 species